GUCGAGGGGCAGCAUUUUAGUUUGCUUGCAAACUAAAGAUGGCGACCGGCGCACGGGCUGAGCUAACACGCUAUCCAACCUGCCGAUAACUCGGGGAUAGCCUUUCGAAAGAAAGAUUAAUAUCCGAUAGUAUAUUAAAACCGCAUGGUUUUACUAUUAAAGAAUUUCGGUUAUCGAUGGGGAUGCGUUCCAUUAGUUUGUUGGCGGGGUAACGGCCCACCAAGACUACGAUGGAUAGGGGUUCUGAGAGGAAGGUCCCCCACAUUGGAACUGAGACACGGUCCAAACUCAUACGGGAGGCAGCAGUGAGGAAUAUUGGUCAAUGGACGAGAGUCUGAACCAGCCAAGUAGCGUGAAGGAUGACUGCCCUAUGGGUUGUAAACUUCUUUUAUAUGGGAAUAAAGUAUUCCACGUGUGGGAUUUUGUAUGUACCAUAUGAAUAAGGAUCGGCUAACUCCGUGCCAGCAGCCGCGGUAAUACGGAGGAUCCGAGCGUUAUCCGGAUUUAUUGGGUUUAAAGGGAGCGUAGGUGGAUUGUUAAGUCAGUUGUGAAAGUUUGCGGCUCAACCGUAAAAUUGCAGUUGAAACUGGCAGUCUUGAGUACAGUAGAGGUGGGCGGAAUUCGUGGUGUAGCGGUGAAAUGCUUAGAUAUCACGAAGAACUCCGAUUGCGAAGGCAGCUCACUAGACUGCAACUGACACUGAUGCUCGAAAGUGUGGGUAUCAAACAGGAUUAGAUACCCUGGUAGUCCACACAGUAAACGAUGAAUACUCGCUGUUUGCGAUAUACAGUAAGCGGCCAAGCGAAAGCAUUAAGUAUUCCACCUGGGGAGUACGCCGGCAACGGUGAAACUCAAAGGAAUUGACGGGGGCCCGCACAAGCGGAGGAACAUGUGGUUUAAUUCGAUGAUACGCGAGGAACCUUACCCGGGCUUAAAUUGCAUUUGAAUAAUCUGGAAACAGGUUAGCCGCAAGGCAAAUGUGAAGGUGCUGCAUGGUUGUCGUCAGCUCGUGCCGUGAGGUGUCGGCUUAAGUGCCAUAACGAGCGCAACCCUUAUCUUUAGUUACUAACAGGUCAUGCUGAGGACUCUAGAGAGACUGCCGUCGUAAGAUGUGAGGAAGGUGGGGAUGACGUCAAAUCAGCACGGCCCUUACGUCCGGGGCUACACACGUGUUACAAUGGGGGGUACAGAAGGCAGCUACCUGGCGACAGGAUGCUAAUCCCAAAAACCUCUCUCAGUUCGGAUCGAAGUCUGCAACCCGACUUCGUGAAGCUGGAUUCGCUAGUAAUCGCGCAUCAGCCAUGGCGCGGUGAAUACGUUCCCGGGCCUUGUACACCACAANCCGUCAAGCCAUGAAAGCCGGGGGUACCUGAAGUACGUAACCGCAAGGAG
rnacentral:rRNA from 1 species